CAUUCGCUCGCCUGUGCAGCCGGUCGACUGCAGUGCCGCCCCCGCGGCACCAAAGGGAACUAUGUAUCUAGGUAACUUUUCGCCCUAGGGGAGCCUAGCGCCCUAGUUGUCGUGCAAAAAACGCGCCUAGCUCCUGAAACGCCCUAGUCCCCAUGCGCGCGCGCGCGAGGCCCAUAGAAGUAUGCGCUAGCGCAGGGUUUUUAGUCUUUAUUCUAUGGCGACAGGGUGCACGCAAGCAGCACGACCACGAACGAAGCGAUACAAGGUGGAACAGCGCGUUUUACGGCAAUCGAAGCUGUGUGUGUGUGACGAAGGUGUAUGCGCAAAAUAGCACGACCACGAACGAAGGUGGAACAUCGCGUUUUGGCGUUUAGUGUGCGCAGAGCAAUCGAGUUGCGUGUGUGACGCGUUUGUUCGCGCUAACAGCACGACCACGAACGAAGCGAUACAAGGUGGAACAGCGCGUGUUGCACAAUCGAGUUGUGUGUGUGCGUGUGUGACGCGUUUGUUAUGCGCAAAGAGCACGACGACGAUCGUCUUCUAACUGCGCCAGAGCAAACCGAUUGUUGAGUACUGCAUACGUAUUGCGCGGGCGUUAAAACUAGAGAAACACGGGAUUGCGACGCGACCAGCCGCAGUGUAUAGGACUGUACGUACAUGUACGUACGUACGUACGUACGUUUUUUAAUGUGGCCAAUCUUAAAAGGACGAUGGCAUUUCUGCACCGGCGGAGAAGUGGGAAAUCGUGAUUAAAUUUGGCCGAUCAUUGUCAAAAGCAAAGGCUUACCCUUAAUUAGGGGUUAUCCCCUACCUUCUACUGAAACUGCAGCCUCUAGUAGGCUUCAUGCACUUUUGUAGUCAUGACACCAUACGACGAUACCCUCUGACGUGGGGCCCAGACUACUGGAGAGCUGGUUGAUCAAGCUUGCUCAAUAUACUUGACCUUUUGUUCUUUCAUUAUGCUACAGUGCUAGAGCGUAGUUUCUUGCUAUUAGUAAACUGGCAAAACAACAAAGCAUUGCUACUUUACUCCUCAGUGUUGUGGUUCUUCAGUCAAUGACACUAGAGGGGAAAGGAAUCGCGAUCCAAGCCAAGUGGCAAAUUGUGUUUAGUCAGUCUUAAACACCCUUAACUCAAUGUUUUAGAUGACUGUGUGGUUGAUACCUUGUCUAGUGGAACUUCUUGCCAUCCCCAAAAUGUGCAUAGCACCAGAGGUAUAGUUUGACAGCUGUAAGCAGUGCAAUUAAGGGAGUGCAGUACCUGUAUUGCAGCUUUACACCAGCUAAGAUAUUGAAGCUUAGGAGUAUGUUCAUAUUUCUUAUCUAUAGUGUGGCAAGAACUUGUAAUCCGCCCUCAAGUUCUGCUGGAGCACAAGCUACUGUUGCUCUUUUGUGCAGCUAGUGUCAGCAGACAAGCUUGCAGUAUUGCUAGGUAGAAAAGCACUUAGGCUUCACGACCAUCCAAGUUAUAAAUGAAUAAGUGCAUGGCUAGAAGUUGUAAAUUGCAAGGAACAGUUCAAAUGCCAUUGAGCAUAGUUGCGCUAUUGCAAUGUAUCCUUCGGAGCAUUGUGCAAGCCAUGGUGGUUCCCACAUUGUGUUGAAGUGCCACACCAGUGACAUAUGAUAAUGAUGCCAGCGUGAUCCAGUGUGGCUGUACUUUGUUCUAUAAAAACUUUUCAUGUGUUUUAGAUUAUAUUUAGUGCAGUAUCUGAAAGGUUAUGCGCAGAUGAUAGUUGACCUUACAGCCAUUUUUUCUAUACAGUCCUUCACUUUCCAUCAACUUCAGCAAAUCAUUGAAGCCCCAAAAUAACACAUUUAAUAUUGGUAUUCAGAUUGAACAGUUUCAGUUCUAUGUGUAUGUUUCAGAGAACUAGACCAAACAUCAAGAAUGAAAAUUUAGCUACCUAUUGAUGCUGUAGCUUUAGGCUCUGCAGGAACCAUUUAUCUGCAGCACCCAACUUAUCCCGUAUUUGAUGGAUCGUGACAGAUGUGUGAAGAAGCACGAGUGUUAUGCAGAACAGUUUUCAAGAGGUAAUGAACCUCUGCCAUAUACAUAAAUAACUGGAAGCCUUCUCCUAAGGAAAUGUUCGUGCUCUGCACUGCAACAUCGACAAGUCCCUCCCUAAGAUAAGGUGAUAAAGAGAGCUGGUUUUAUGAAUCUGUUGUAUUUCCACAAUUUUAACAUGGUAUAAGUGAGGCCCAAGGCAUAAAUGGGACUGUGUGCUGUUCUGUAUGCGUGCUGCGCUUAUUGUACAGAUCAAUAGUAGCCAAUCAAUAGCCAUUUUGUUGAAGAUGCAAACUGGAUCAUAUCCUAGGGCCAACUCACUGUCAAUGAAAACUGUUAUACUGGCUUUCUGCACUGUUUAUUGAUCAUGGACUUCUUUUUGAGGUGCGAUUGAAGUCCCUCAAAAUCUUACUUAAACUAUGAAUUGCAACUGGGAGAACGUGUCCGUUCAUUAGGACCACACUUUUUGUAUUUAGCUCUCAUCAUUGUAAACAGCUUCAUAAUGAGAGGAACCUCAGACGAAAUGCUUAUUUUUUCCUCGCAUCCUUCUUCUGCCUUCUUUGUAAGCACAAACUAUGGCCAUGUAAACUAGGUAAUCUUGCAUUUAUCCUGUCUACAAGUGCCUCUUUUGACAUUCAUGCCUGUAUUGCCUUUUCAGUGCCUAAAAAUUCCCUUUUUCCUUCUUU